AGGUGGGGGUGGUAGGGAACGGGACAGGAGGGACAUGGCUUGCUCCCCUGACAUGACAGAGAAGGCUGAAACAAAACUCUGAGAAACUGGAAGAUGCAAACUGGGUUUGUGGCAAGGGUGAAGGGAAAUAGGUGCUCAGAGUUUUGCCAGGCUGGGGCUGCUGGCCGAAGGGACAGUAUUAGUGUUUCAGAGCAUUCUCCAAGCAGCCGAGUCGUCCGGGUUCUGGAGACCAGCCAGCCUUCUCUGGAGCUCGAGAUGGGGGUUGUGGAGUCACAAGUACAAAUGUCUCUAGAGCAUCAUUUUGAAACCCUCUUUUGACUUUUCAGAUAAAUUGCAGAAUCAUCACUAAUCUUAAAACACUUUCCAUUAAAACCACACUUCUUAAAAGGGCUGGAAGGAUGCCCCCCGCUGCUCCCCGGAGCCUCCCUUUGUAUGUGCUCUUCCCCCACGGGCAGAGAUUUAUUUCAUUAGCAGGGGCUCCCUGGCUACGUUUACAGUCAGAGGAUAAGUCUUCCUGGCUUCCUAACGGUCCACUGCUAAGACUCUGCUCCAGGAGGCCAGGUAGCAAAGCAACAUUCUCGCGGUGAGAUGGGUUUUCCCCUGUGGAUGCUUCUCUACGGCACAGUGGGAAUCUUUCUACUUUAUUUCUGUAACCACUUUUUAAAUACUCUGCAAAAUAAUAUUUGAGUCGAAGAGGAGGCUGUGGCUCUCGGGUGUUCUCUCUGCAGGAGAAUAACUGGGAGCUGAAACAGGAAGCCCCAUGACACAGUUGAUCGAAAAUGACACAGACACAGAAAAAUCAGGACGUGCCCCCAGCAGCACCCCUACCUGCUGCCUGCUGAUCACAGCUGGGAGGCCCGUGGAGGGUUUCCCGGGGAAUGGACUCUAACUACUCCAUGCUCACGGGUGAUGAGCCUGAGUGCUUUUGGUGAUGCUCUUUUACAGCUGGUUUGUUAUUUUUUAAUUAAUUAACUAAUUAAUCUGUUAUUACUCCAUUUAUCAGCCCUCUCCCAUGUCUUGAUCCUUUCUUCAUUAAAAGCAAAACGAAAGAAAAUGAAA